ACCGACUAACUAGUCCAAUGACAAAAACCAAUAUGAAAAUACCCCCUAAUACCUUUAAAAUUACUAAAUAAAACAUUUUGCCCCUUAGUAAAGGAGAUUGAACAGGAAAUAGGAACUAUAAACUAAGUACCGCAAGGGAACGUUGAAAUAGAGAUGAAAGAGGCCAGUUAAGAAGAAUAAAGCAGAGAUUAAACCUU
rnacentral:rRNA from 1 species